GAGUUUGAUCCUGGCUCAGAUUGAACGCUGGCGGCAUGCUUUACACAUGCAAGUCGAACGGCAGCGGGGGCUUCGGCCCGCCGGCGAGUGGCGAACGGGUGAGUAAUGCAUCGGAACGUACCCAGUCGUGGGGGAUAACUACGCGAAAGCGUAGCUAAUACCGCAUACGCCCUGAGGGGGAAAGCGGGGGACCUUCGGGCCUCGCGCGAUUGGAGCGGCUGAUGUCGGAUUAGCUAGUUGGUGGGGUAAAGGCCUACCAAGGCGACGAUCCGUAGCUGGUCUGAGAGGAUGAUCAGCCACACUGGGACUGAGACACGGCCCAGACUCCUACGGGAGGCAGCAGUGGGGAAUUUUGGGCAAUGGGCGCAAGCCUGAUCCAGCCAUGCCGCGUGAGUGAAGAAGGCCUUCGGGUUGUAAAGCUCUUUCAGACGGAAAGAAAUCGGGCGCGUGAAUAGCGUGCCUGGAUGACGGUACUGUCAGAAGAAGCACCGGCUAACUACGUGCCAGCAGCCGCGGUAAUACGUAGGGUGCGAGCGUUAAUCGGAAUUACUGGGCGUAAAGCGUGCGCAGGCGGUUGUGUAAGACAGGUGUGAAAUCCCCGGGCUUAACCUGGGAACUGCGCUUGUGACUGCACGGCUAGAGUACGGCAGAGGGGGGUGGAAUUCCACGUGUAGCAGUGAAAUGCGUAGAUAUGUGGAGGAACACCGAUGGCGA
rnacentral:rRNA from 1 species